AUGUCGCCCGGUGUUUCAUUUCCUACUGUGAGGGAAGGCCCAAAGUUCAGUCAUCCUCCUCUUUGGUGUUCUUUGAUGUACACCCGUGGUCGGGCCUCCCAAGCCCUCCGCAGUCGCCGCUACGGGUGGCCUGAUGCUCAGGCCCUCUCGCCGGGAUGAUAUUACUCC